CCGCCCCUGACCCGACUCCCUGCAUAAUAUUUUCCUAGAUUACUUUGUGAAAAACAGCCAUUGAUUGUUGUAUUUGAAGUAGAAUCUAUAAUCUAGGGUUUUAGUUUGGGAGUAACUCCGUUGUUGAAGAAGAGAGAAGAAGAGUUCUUUUCCUUUUUUGGUAACUAAUAAUUUUAUUAAUCACCAAGAGAAAAGCAUUACAGACUGCAACCCAACUUUAUAUCUCAGUGGGCUGCUCAAGUGUAAUUCUCAGUAAACCAGAUAGCAAUCAAAGCUAAUCUAGCAACAGAAAUCAAAACAUGUAGUUCUGUCCAAGGUUUCGGAUACCAGGGGAAGCUCGAAUGUUGCACAUAUAUGCAACUUCUCUAGCAAUGAUGUCCCAUCCAGUAGCUCACUUGUCAAAAACUCUCUUAUUUCUUUCCAUCCAAAUUCCAUGCAUUACUUCCGCGUACAGCAUUCUGAAUAUUCUAGCAGCCGGUGACUUCCCUUUAGCAUUUCUGAUAGCCCAGUGCAAGUGAGUGUCCCAAUUACCAACAACAACAACAUGCCUAGUAGAAUCCCGCAAUGUGGGGUCUGGGGAGGGUAGAGUGUACGCAGACCUUACCCCCAUCUUGAAAGGUAUGGAAGUUGUUUCCGAAAGACCCUCGGCUCAAGAGAGAAAACAAGACCUUACCCCCACCUUGAGUGUCCCAAUUACCAUUUGGGAAAUUACCCUUCUGUGCCUAGUUAAGAAUUCUUAUCCACAUCAGUUUGGUAUAUUGACACUCAACAAAAAGGUGGUCCCUAGUCUUAGGAGCUUGCUGGCAUAAUGUGCAGAUAGGAUCCACCGAUAAUCCCCAUUUGAUUAACCUAUCCAAUGUGCGCAUUUUGCCUUGCAACAUUAACCACAUGGUAAACUUUGCCCUUGGUCUUCCACCAUUCCUAAAAAUCAGUGGUUUCCAUUCGACUCUAGGAUAAUCACCCAUCAUCUAGAAGUAAAUUUGACUAGUGAGGCUUUAUUUAUCAGUGAAGUUACAUUGUCCCAGUAGAGUUUGGUUAUGGCAGCUCUGUUCCAACAAUUCAGGUUGAACAAGUUCAACCCUCCUCCCGCUCUAGCUUCUCUGGUAAAAUGAGCAGCUGCUGCUGGUCUAUGUUCAGCAUUUGGUUUGAAAUUUCCACUUCCAGGUACACUCAGAUCAAUAGAAGCCAAUAUAGAAGAUGCUUCAGCGGUGUUGGCAAGCUCCACUUGUUCCUGGAGUGCUGCCGAGUCAGAGUACAUAUGCUAUGAUGUUGUGUUCAAAGUUAGAGACUUUGCAGACAGAGUCGUGGGUAUAGUACGUCGGUCUUGAAAGCGGCUUCAGCAGCCGAUGUGUCAUACUGUGUUAUGUGUUAAGUUCCAAAUGAUUACAGAUUUUGUCUGACUUGAGAACGAAGGAAAGGAAUAUUUUGAAAGUUUU